rnacentral:rRNA from 1 species
GACGAACCGUGCGAACGUUGUUCGGAAUCACUGGGCUUAAAGGGCGCGUAGGCGGCUUGUCAAGUCAGGGGUGAAAUCUUUCGGCUCAACCGGAAAAGUGCCCUUGAUACUGACAGGCUCGAGGGAGGUAGGGGCAUGCGGAACUUCUGGUGGAGCGGUGAAAUGCGUUGAUAUCAGAAGGAACGCCGGUGGCGAAAGCGGCGUGCUGGACCUUUUCUGACGCUGAGGCGCGAAAGCUAGGGGAGCAAACGGG